rnacentral:misc_RNA from 1 species
CUGAAAUAUGUAACUCCGAAAGGUCAUGGAAGGGUCGGGCCCUAAAAAGCCCGCCCGACCUACCUUCACACCCUUGUGUAUCCACCGUGUUGCUUUGGCGGGCCGACCCGGUUCUGACCCGGGCGGCCGGCGCCCCCAGCCCAGAUCCUGGGCCAGGACGCCCGGCUAAGCGUCCGCCAGUAUA